GACGAACCGAGCGAACGUUAUUCGGAAUCACUGGGCUUAAAGCGCGUGUAGGCGGCUCUUCAAGUCAGGCGUGAAAGCCCCGGGCUCAACUCGGGAACUGCGCUUGAUACUGUCGAGCUAGAGUGUGGAAGGGGCGAUUGGAAUUCCGUGUGUAGCGGUGAAAUGCGUAGAUAUACGGAGGAACACCAGAGGCGAAGGCGGAUCGCUGGGCCAACACUGACGCUGAGACGCGAAAGCUAGGGUAGCAAACGGG
rnacentral:rRNA from 1 species